GCGGCGAGCCGGCAGGGCGCGGUCCCCAGCGGCCGCCCCCUCCCCCGCCCCACCGCGCGCGCUCCCGCCCAACGGUCCCCUGCCGGCGCCGCUGCCCCCCUGCGAGGCGGCGCCUGGGCUGGGGGCGGUGGCGGCGCCAGGCUCACGGCGCGCGGAGCUGCCGGCGGGGCCUUUCGGGUGCCCGCGGCUCCGGGGAUGGGGCCCCGGCAGUGACAGGCGGUGCCGGGCCCUGGGGAUUUAGCGAUUGCUGCGCUCAGAGCGUCGCGCUGAGCUGGGGGUCGGAUGUCCUCUGGCUCGCCUCGGUCUCGGCCUCUAUUGCUGCUUACAGCUCGGCCGGUUUUAUACAUAACUGCACAGACGCUCCGGGCUGGCCACCACAGGUCCUGUCCUGUCAUCAAACCGCUCUCAGGGUCCCCGGUAACGUAUGAUGGGAGUCUAUUACCUCGCCAGCAGGAAGGUUUCCCAGGGCAAAUUGUCCUAGGCAAAGGUCUUAACCCUGCCCUUACGGCAGACUUCAAGGUCCUGACAAGCCAGCUGUGCCCCUGUGGACAGGCACCCGCUCCCCUGCGUGCUGCUGGGGUCACCACAUUACCCCAUGUAGCAGCCCCAGUUUGGCAUGGUGGUCCCCACGCCGGACCAAGGGAGCUCCAGGGAUCGUCCCAGGAGGUCCGCCCAGCCCAGAAAACCUCAACAAGGCAAUUAGCACAGCGAGUAAAUCCGGAUGGCAACCUCAGGAGUGAGGCCAGUGCAGGUGAGCAGCAGGAGAUCUCCGUUGCAUCGCCCUGCAGUGCUUCUAUUACAGUUGAAGAAUAUCCUCCUGACAGACAGCCAAGGCUGUGUGAAGCAAUAGUAAAGAGAAAUGUAGAAACUUUUGUAUAAGCAAUUUUUUCUCUUGGAAGGAGUAAAGAAAAAAAGUACAAUUGCCU